UGGGUCUCGCUCGUUGCCUGACUUAACAGGAUGCUUCACAGUACGAACUGGCGACGGCCAUGCACCUCCUCUCAGCGAUUCAGGCAAGGUCUUCAGCCUGGCCUACAUAUUGCUGUCGUCCCCGGUGAGUUGUCCGGCGUUGAGUCCAAUUAAACCGCAGGCUCCACCCGUUGUUGUGCUCCCCCGCCAAUUCCUUUAAGUUUCAGCCUUGCGGCCGUACUUCCCAGGUGGCUCGCUUCACGGCUUCCCUGCGGCACCAGACACGGUCGCGCCAUGCCUGACACCUAGCGAGCAUCGUUUACGGCUGGGACUACCCGGGUAUCUAAUCCGGUUCGUGCCCCCAGCUUUCGUCCCUCACCGUCGAACCCGUUCUGGUAAGACGCCUUCGCCACAGGUGGUCCCACAGGGAUUACAAGAUUUCACUCCUACCCCUGUAGUACCUCUUACCUCUCCCGGUUCCAAGUCUGGCAGUAUCCCCCGAAAGCCUAACAGUUGAGCUGUCAGAUUUCCCGGAGGACUGACCAAACCGGCUACGGACCCUUUAGACCCAAUAAUCACGAUCACCACUCGGGCCGCCGGUGUUACCGCGGCGGCUGGCACCGGUCUUGCCCGGCCCUUGCUAACAGGUGUAUUUUACACACCUGGACAGCCAGCAUAUGAUGCUAGCACUCGGUGUCCCCUUAUCACGGUUUCCCGCAUUGUAAAGUUUUCGCGCCUGCUGCGCCCCGUAGGGCCUGGAUUCAUGUCUCAGAAUCCAUCUCCGGGCUCUUGCUCUCACAACCCGUACCCGUUGUAGGCUAGUAGGUACAUUACACCCACUACUACCU
rnacentral:rRNA from 1 species